rnacentral:rRNA from 1 species
AGUCGCACGGACCUUUCGGGGUGAGUGGCGGACGGGUGAGUAACGCGUAGGGAUCUAUCCAUGGGUGGGGGAUAACACCGGGAAACUGGUGCUAAUACCGCAUGAUACCUGAGGGUCAAAGGCGCAAGUCGCCUGUGGAGGAGCCUGCGUUCGAUUAGCUUGUUGGUGGGGUAAAGGCCUACCAAGGCGAUGAUCGAUAGCUGGUCUGAGAGGAUGAUCAGCCACACUGGGACUGAGACACGGCCCAGACUCCUACGGGAGGCAGCAGUGGGGAAUAUUGGACAAUGGGCGAAAGCCUGAUCCAGCAAUGCCGCGUGUGUGAAGAAGGUCUUCGGAUUGUAAAGCACUUUCGACGGGGACGAUGAUGACGGUACCCGUAGAAGAAGCCCCGGCUAACUUCGUGCCAGCAGCCGCGGUAAUACGAAGGGGGCUAGCGUUGCUCGGAAUGACUGGGCGUAAAGGGCGCGUAGGCGGUUCAUACAGUCAGAUGUGAAAUUCCAGGGCUUAACCUUGGGGCUGCAUUUGAUACGUAUGGACUAGAGUGUGAGAGAGGGUUGUGGAAUUCCCAGUGUAGAGGUGAAAUUCGUAGAUAUUGGGAAGAACACCGGUGGCGAAGGCGGCAACCUGGCUCAUUACUGACGCUGAGGCGCGAAAGCGUGGGGAGCAAACAGGAUUAGAUAC